UUGUCCCUCUCUGACUUGUGAAGCAUCAACGUCUCCUCUCUGUGGUUCCUUUUGUUCCUGUUGAUAUUUUGGACUCUCGUUGAUAUUUUGUCGUCGUUGUCGAUGAUCUCGUGGUUGGCCGGGCUGGGGCUUCUUCUCCUUCCUUUUUUUUUGGGUUUGUUUUUUUAUUUUUUAAAUUUCCAGACUCAUUAAUAACGAGAUAUUUCUUCACAGCACCGUCAGAGGAGGGCACAGAGAGGUUAAAAUCUGAGUUUCACAGGGUCAGGUUUGGCCCUCAGGCCGAGUAACAGACCCCCAAGCUCACCCCUAAUUAAGGACUAAUUAAAGGACUAAAAUUAAAGCUAAUUAAUCCCUGUUACUGGUGCAGCAGAGUAGUGUUACUGGUACAGCAGAGUGUUACUGCAGAGAGUGUUACUGGUACAGCAGAGAGUGUUACUGGUGCAGCAGAGUGUUACUGGUGCAGCAGAGUGUUACUGGUGCAGCAGAGUGUUACUGGUGCAGCAGAGUGUUACUGGUACAACAGAGGGUGUUACUGGUGCAGCAGAGUGUUACUGGUGCAUCAGAGGGUGUUACUGGUGCAGCAGGCUGUGGGUGCCUGGCAGGGGUGCCUGGCACCUCCCAGGGUGGUUUUUUGGGAUGUUGUCUGGUCGUUGCGACGCCAUCGUCCUGUCGUGGGUCUGUCGUGUCCGGACUCUUGGGAGGAUCAGCUGGCUGGAGGCAGGGAAGGGACAGUCCCCCCCUGGUCCUGGAGACCCUUCCUGUCGCCCUCCUGGUGCUCUUCCAAGCUGGGCAUGGAAGGAACUGGGCUGUGUUGUCGCCACUGCCAACCUUGUUGGAAAACUCCGACGGGAAUUCCCGGCCCGGAGAAGUCACCAAAGUCACAA